AGAAGUAGAGGGGGCAGAGGGCAAGGGGGCCACCUGAUCCCCCCCCUCCCACUUUUCCUAUUAUAGUAGUGAGGGGGAGGGGGCACAAAUUUAAGAAAACCCUCCAAUAAUUAGAUUCUAUACUGGAAAAUUAUAAAUUUUCUAUAUAUAGAAUCUAAUUAUUGGGGUGUCAACUUAAUAUUGGAGUAAAUAGAGUAUUUUGCUUUCAUUCUAUCCCAGGUACUUUAGGGAGUUUCCCUGUCCUUUUAUGGGACUUUACAAGGCUAUUUCUCUUUGAACUCUGCCUUUGAUUUGAGGGCGGGAUGGUAACAUUCAUGGUGACUUCCUUAAUCAUGUAUGCAGGCCUGAUGCUGAAGGGAGCGGAUGCUUAGAAUUGAGUCCCAGACUCAGGCUUGUUGAGAGAGACUGCUUCAUGCAGUGGGUGAUAUAAUGGCUUGUUUUAAUCCAUUGCUGUUGUAGUACCAAUGGCAUGUAUCUGCAGCCUAUCCCAAGGUUGCCAUUUGUUCAAGCCAAGCAGGCUACUACUACCUGCUCCCCUGCUAUAUUGUGGUGAGGUGCAGCAAUAGCAUGGUUUUGCACGCUGAUAUAAGAGUAAUAUAAAUUAUAUCAAUAAGAAUGUUUAAGAUACUGGGUGAGCUAAGGAAGAGGUUUAGGGGAUGAACUUUUUGUUCUUCUUAGCACACCUUUUCACCCACAGUACUAGGAAAGAGUGCCUCUUCAAUAAUAAUUCUGGUUAAGGAGCUAAAACAGUGGGUGCUACUCUUUCUGGCAUGCAUACCACAAGCUUCUUGAGUGUCACUCCAAUCCCCAUUCACUAGAGGCUGUAUGGGCCACUUGUGAUGCACGGGCUGUGGGUUGGCCAACACUGUUCUAAAGAGUUCACUAAAUGGGCUAGAUCUUCUAUCCAGAGCUGCCUUAAAUCCAGAUUUGAAGGACUUUGUAAAUGUUAGAGAAAUUUUGAUAAAUUUAGAUUGAGUGCCACCAUUACAAACAAAAACUUUUUGUCUGUCACUUGCAUAGCUUUGAAGGAAAAGAACUUGUGGCUGCAUAAUAGGCCUGUGAUCACCUAGCCUUAAGUCAGGAGUGAGAAGGGAAACAUCCAGCGGAAUGUUUGUCGAGAUUGGAUCAAGAAAAAUGUUCAUUUUGCUCUCAUACUUAACUUCCUCUUUUGAUAACACGUCAACACCCUUAUGCAGUAGAACAGAAGCCUGACACGAGACCAGAGUAGGGCCUGCUGCCCAUAUCUUAAUGCAGACAAGACACUAAAGUUAGGAUUGGGAAAACAGUGGGAAGAUAAGAGUGAAAUUUUUAUAAAUAAAGGAAUGUCAGCUGUUCUGUAAAUAAAGCUCUGAAUCUGGGAUUGUUAUAUUCAGUGCUAUGUCUGAAUGACCAAAUAUUUAUGCUUGGUUUAUUUUUAGUUAUAAGCACAGCUUUUUUCUGAAUCACUUUCUCAUAUACAUUUAAAACACUGCAGAGUCCAAUACCCUAAUGUUAAAUACCAGAAGUAAGACUGCCUGUACAAUUUUAGUUUAGCUUCCUACAGGCUUGUGCAUUAUUGUAUAAUCUUUAAAAACAUUGUAUGCAUUUCCUUUAGGACCCUGUCCUAUUUGUAUUAGAGAUUCAUCAUCUAGUUUACUUACUCUUAAUCAGUAUGGCCUCAUUCCUUAUUUGCUGCACACCGCUGAACCCUAGCUCUGAAGAUGGAAUUAUUCAUUUAGUCAUACUCCACACUAGUAUUUGAGUAUUUUAUAAGUACUGGUGAAUUUAUUUUCAUAACACCCCUAGGAAAUGUGGAUAUUAGCUUCAUUUCACAGUUGAGGGUUCUCUGAAGCAUACUUAGGUCAAAGGUUUCUUUUAUUUUUGAAUACUCCAUUUGUGAACAUAUAGAACCUGGUAUGUAAUUAGUAGGUUCAAAAUGAGUUCUGUUGACUUCAGUUGCAGGUGUGAAUGCUCAGUACUUCUGUAAAUCAAAAUGCAGUCAGGCUCCCAGAAAAUGAGGAAUGAACCAUUAGUGGCCAACCUAUUAUGGCAUGGAGACCUCUUAGCAGAAGUAAGCAUAGACUCUAUCCAGGGUAGGAUUCAUAUAUUUCAUCAUAAGACCAUCUUUGUGCAGUCUCAUUAAGUAAAUAACUUCCAACUUCUGUAGUAAAUGAAGCAGGGCUCCUUCAUUCACUACAUAGCCCUCAUUGAUUCCCAGAAUAUUACCCAAUCUGUGCAUGGAAGUAUCAGAAAACACUUUCAAAGGGAAAUAGCUAUUAUUCACACAAGUACUUAUGUUGCCUUUUCUAUAAAUGCUUAUAGGUAGGAGUGAGAUUUUUUUUUUUCAGCAUCUAGCCCAUAAAUAGCUUUACUACUUUAAAAAAAAGGGUAUGUAAGUAGCCUUGAUUCUAUCACUUCUAAACAGUUUGUGCUUUAACUUUGCAACCUUAACUUUUUUUAGAAGAUUAUUUUGUGUAGUUUCCUAAGGUGUGUUUUUGUUUUGUUUUGUUUUUAAGCACUGAAAACACAUUCUGUCGUGUGGCAUCAUUGUUACUCUGAGUUGUCAGCAGGGUUAUCAGGAGUAACUGAUAACAAUAAAUUAUUACUAUGAAAUCAUUUGUGUUACUAUAGCACUUAAAAGUUCUGAUCAUGAACCAGGAACCCACUGUGCUAAGUAUACAAACAGAGAAUAAAAAGUCUCUACAUGAGAGAGUUUAUAAUCUAAGUAUGAUAUAAGAGACCCUCAAUGGAGGUAGGCGAAUGAGAAAAGCACAUGGAAACAUUGAGAGCGUUGAUCAGCAUGACAGGCAAUGGUGUUAGCACACCAGUCUUUUGUGUCAGGUAAAAUGAGGAUAAUGAAGCAGCUCUGUAGAUUCUGAAGGGGAGCAUGACAAGUGCAGAAGUGCAUAUUUGAAAAUUUAAUAAGUGGUAGACGGAGGCAAGAGUUGAUUACUGUAUAAUACAGGUGGAUAGGUAGAAUGGAAACUGGCUAUGAAGGGCCUUGAAGUUAAGUCAAGCAGCUUAUGAUUGAUGCAAUAGAAAAUGAAGAGCUAAUGGAAGAAUUCCAAAGAGUGAACUGGUCAUAGAUGUUAGGUGAAUGUUCUCUCUAGCAAUACAUAGUGAAUAUGUAUGAUGAAGAUUGCAUUUGUCUGGGUUACAGGAAAAGAAGUGGUAAUUGAGUUGCAAGAUGAAAGAUGAAGUUGUGUGUGAAUUGAUAAGUACCAUUGUAUGUUAAAGAUAUUAAGAUGAAAGACUGCAGCUUCAGACAGUUUAGAUGUGGAGACAUUGGAGGUCAGAGUUAAAGGUGAUGCUCAGUUGAUGGUGGUGAGUGGUAGGGAGGUGAGUGUGUGAGGGGGAUGACAGAUUAAGUGCUUGGUCACAGCCGUGUUUUGUUGGAGGUGACGAGUAGACAUCUAUGAGAAGUCAGAGAGAGAUGGACUAAGAUUUUAUUUUAAACAGGAGGAAGUAGAGCUAUGGUUUGUCAGCAUAGAGAUAAUAAUUGAACAUGUAUUUGCAGAUUAAAUUACUUGGAUAUAAGGUGGGGGGGGAGUGGAGAAAUGAAAGGAAGAAAAGCACUCGAAUCCUCAGAAAUUUGGAGGGGAGAUAUGGAAGAUGUUCUGAUGGAACAAAUAGAGAAGUCAAGCAACCACUAGUAGAUGGCAGUGUCAUGGAAGCCUAGGAAGGACAAGAUUUUAAGCAGCAGCAUAGUUAACUGUGUUGAAUGGUGGCUGACAGAAUGAGGACUAAGUACUGUUUUUUGUUUCUGUUAGGAAAAGGUCAUUAAACUACACUUUUAGUAGAAGGCCAGGCAUGGAAGCUGGAUUGAGGCUCUAGAAUCAAAAUGGAAGAAAGGCAUUUCAGACAACUGUUGUGGAUGGAAUAUGUAGUUAUCUUGGAAAUACAAGAAUGAUGGAAGAUGGUUACAAGUCAAAAGCCAAAUAUGGUCAAGUGUGAUUUUCAGGUGGGUAGGGUGAAGCAGGUUUGCACUAAGGAAAGAGCCAAGAGAAAGUAAGAAAUUUACUAGUUGGAAAAAGAGAGAGAGAGAUCUGUGGUCACUGGGAAAACUAAAACGGUUGAAGAGGAGAACAGACAAGCUUUUUGGUGCCUGUGACUAGAGGUGGGAAGGAGACAUAUGAGAGGGGAAGUAGAAAUGUAUAUUCCUUCCCCCCCUCCCCCCCCCCAUCCCCCAAUCCAAAUUUCUCUUGGCAGAAAGUAGUGAGAUUCUGAAAGAAUGAGGUGGCAUCAAGAGGAGAAAAGGGUUGUGAGUGAGUUUAAGGUGGUGGAAAUGUAGUUGGGAUUGAGCAAUGAUAAUUCAGUUAAAUUGGAGAAGUAGUUUAGUUAGGAAGGAUAGCAGAACUGAAGGAGGAAUUCAUAGUGGAAAAAGUUUACCAGUUCCAUUAGUAUAGAUCAGACCAACACUGGAGGAAGAUGGGCAUUUUUUGCCUUUUCACAGGUAUUUGCUGACAACAGAGGAAUGAUGAGCUCCAGGAAUCUUGGGUUCCAUUCCCAGGUCUGAAGAUGAUGUUUUGUGAAAUGCUGAGAGCUUGGAAAUAUACAUAGAAGUAAAGUAAUAUUGCUUUUCAAGUUUGGCUGUAAAUGAAGUAGAGUUCAAGUAUUCAGGAAAUAAAGAAUAUAAAACAUUCUCUAAGAGCUGAUUUGCAUAGUUCAGAAGAAAUCCAUGGACCUUAAUAUUCUGUCAGGAUAGAUAUUCUGAAGUCAGAAAACAAACACAGAAUGUUUAAUUUUAUUCAAAGGAGAAUUUUCUUUCACUUUUUUUUUCAUUUUUCCAAAUUAAAAUGACCUCUAUCCACAUUAUACAAUUUGCAUUGCAAAUUAAAUUGGCCAAUUCUCUAUAAAUUCUCUAAUUCACUUUGAAGGUGGAUUAAGUUAAUUGCAAAUUGAGUUAGUAUGGACUGAUCUUUAUACUAAUAGUGGCAGUCCUCCAGCUUCUAUUCUAAGCUGCUCUGCAUGACCCUGUCACCAGAAUCAGCCUGUCUGUUUACUUGUGCCCCCCUCCCCUCAUUACUUUAGGAUUCCAUUUGCUGGAUGUCACUUUCUGUUUGUGUAUUGCACAGUCAGGAUUUGGUCCAUUUGCAGUUGGUCCAUCUGCAGUAGCAGACCUUAGCAAUAUAGAACCUUUAAAGCCAUGCAAUACUACACCCAGGAUCUCUGAACGAGGUCUCUGGGGAGAGGGGAAUCCCUGCAAUAAAUGGGCAAGUAAAGCCAUCACUAGACAAAUGGCCAACAAGGGUGACUCAUACUCCAACAAAAGCAAGGACCUCAGGUAUAUAAGAAAGCCAAGUACAAAAAGAUCAUCAAAGAGUGGAACUGGACGCUACUUUAUCCUGGACACUUGAACCUGAUUUAUGGUGAACAUGCUAGAAGCAGUUAAAAAGACUGUGGACCUUCUGGCCACCUAGAAACCUGAGGAACCAGGAGGUGGUCUUCCAGUUGUCCAGGAUCUCUUCCUUAUAAAAGGAUAUGAGACAGACCCUAAAGCCACCCACUGAACAGCUGUACAGCCCUGGAGAUGAAACAUCAACUAUUCCUGCACCUGAAGGACUGUGACUCUUGGGUGAAACCAUUAUCCAGGGCUUAACACCCAUGUUCUCAGGAGUGGGGAAGAGAAACACUGGAUGAGCAAGACAGUUCAGAGAGCAGCCAGCCCCUCUGAAGGAUCAAAGACCAGACUUGGGAAGGAAAGGAGAAAGAUGCAGCUAAACAGAGUUGACCCAACAGAACCUUGCAGUGACUUGGAUGAUCACCGAUUUGACUUUAAAAUAGUAUGGAAAAGAUUGCAUAUGUGCAGAAGCAAGUCUUGGAGGUGACGCAUUGUUUUUCUGGAGGGCAUGCUGCUGGAACAUUUCCAAAGAGCACAACAGCCUUGAGAGAUGUCCCAGGUGUAUUUCAGAGUUGGAGAACAUUGCUUACUGGGAGUAACAGGUCUCUCUGCAGAGCCUUCUAAUGGCAAACUUCCCACCCCCCACAUACCCCAGCAGAGCAAGAAGAGCAAGUUGUGGCAACCCAUUAUUGGCUACUUAGACCCAAAUGAAGGCUUACUUCCAAGGCAUUUAACACAUCAAGGGAGAACAGCCAAGAAGAAGAAUGGAUGCAUGCUCAGCUGUUAGCAUGACAGCUCACAGAUGUGCUGUUAACCCUUGCACUCUCCAUAGAAUAUAUACCACAGCAUUGUUUGUUCUAAAGCUUCCCUUGUUUCAUGGUGUUGAAUAUUAGCAAUCUUAAAUAGUUCUGUUUACUUAAAUUUUUAUUUGUAUUAUUUUUCAAUAAAGAUUAUUUUUGAAAAAAAAAAAAA